rnacentral:lncRNA from 1 species
GCGGCCUUUGGGCGAGCGGGUUCGAGCGGCGGAAUCCACGAACCGAGGGGAGGGUUAGUAGACUGGGCCUCCCAACGUCCCGGCCGGCCAGCCGCAGGCUUUCUGGUGUUGGACUACAUUUCCCAGAGCCGCCGCGUCCCCAAUGCGGCUUCAUUUCCGUUUGUUCGUGCGAUUUGGGGGCCUCGCGUGGGGAGGGCAGCGUCUGGAGGAGCUUGGCCCGGCUCCCGUUGGGCGGGCGAACCCGAAAUCGGGGCUUGGACCCCAGGCGCCAGAUCCUGGAUCCUGAACUGCAGCUUCUGUCCAGAGCCCAGAAGAGGAAAAAAUGGCUGUUACACAUUCAAAACCAAAGUCCAAGCUCUGCCUUUUUCAGACUGUGUGCUUCUCUAAGAUAGGAAUCCAGAGGAGGAUUGAUCAUUUCUUGGAGCACUAAAAACCAUGGCUCAGAGAUCAGUGAUGUUCAGGGAUGUUGCCAUUGACUUCUCUCAGGAAGAGUGGGAAUGCCUGGACUCUGCUCAAAGGGAUUUGUAUAGAGAUGUGAUGUUGGAGAACUAUAGUAACUUGGUGUCACUAGUAGGUAAGGAAAUGUACCCCUAGUAUUUCAGGAUCUACCUUUGGAAUGGCUGCUUUCUUCGAUUGUUUUUAAGUAACUGAAUUGCCUCUUAUUAUUCUCAAAGGAAUGAGAAUAUUUCAAUUACUGGAAAUAGUAAUAUUUCAUAGGGCAUAUUUGCUUUCUCCAUUUUCCAGUGUAAUUAUCGCUCUUCUUUCUCUCUUAUUUGAUAAGCAAGGGGCUAGAUUUGAAUUCUGGGACACUUACAAUAUUGUCAGGAAAAACAGGCUAUGCAUUGUUACAAUUUAGAUAUGCUAAAGGAG